rnacentral:rRNA from 1 species
AGUCGUAACAAGGUUUCCGUAGGUGAACCUGCGGAAGGAUCAUUAGUGAAUAUAGGACGUCCAACUUAACUUGGAGUCCGAACUCUCACUUUCUAACCCUGUGCACUUGUUUGGGAUAGUAACUCUCGCAAGAGAGCGAACUCCUAUUCACUUAUAAACACAAAGUCUAUGAACGUAUUAAAUUUUAUAACAAAAUAAAACUUUCAACAACGGAUCUCUUGGCUCUCGCAUCGAUGAAGAACGCAGCGAAAUGCGAUAAGUAAUGUGAAUUGCAGAAUUCAGUGAAUCAUCGAAUCUUUGAACGCACCUUGCGCUCCAUGGUAUUCCGUGGAGCAUGCCUGUUUGAGUGUCAUGAAUACUUCAACCCUCCUCUUUCUUAAUGAUUGAAGAGGUGUUUGGUUUCUGAGCGCUGCUGGCCUUUACGGUCUAGCUCGUUCGUAAUGCACUAGCAUCCGCAAUCGAACUUCGGAUUGACUUGGCGUAAUAGACUAUUCGCUGAGGAAUUCUAGUCUUCGGAUUAGAGCCGGGUUGGGUUAAAGGAAGCUUCUAAUCAGAAUGUCUACAUUUUAAGAUUAGAUCUCAAAUCAGGUAGGACUACCCGCUGAACUUAAGCAUAUUAAAAGUCG